UACGUAGGGGGCAAGCGUUGUCCGGAUUUAUUGGGCGUAAAGAGCGUGUAGGCGGCCUGACAGGUCUGCUGUGAAAACUCGAGGCUCAACCUCGAGAUGUCGGCGGAAACCGUCUGGCUAGAGUCCGGAAGAGGAGUGUGGAAUUCCUGGUGUAGCGGUGAAAUGCGCAGAUAUCAGGAAGAACACCUAUGGCGAAGGCAGCACUCUGGGACGGUACUGACGCUGAGACGCGAAAGCGUGGGGAGCGAACAGG
rnacentral:rRNA from 1 species